rnacentral:rRNA from 1 species
GUGAAUCAUCGAAUCUUUGAACGCACAUUGCGCCCGCCAGUAUUCUGGCGGGCAUGCCUGUUCGAGCGUCAUUUCAACCAUCAAGCCCCGGGCUUGUGUUGGGGACCUGCGGCUGCCGCAGGCCCUGAAAAGCAGUGGCGGGCUCGCUGUCACACCGAGCGUAGUAGCAUACACCUCGCUCUGGGCGUGCUGCGGGUUCCGGCCGUUAAACCACCUUUUAACCCAAGGUUGACCUCGGAUCAGGUAGGAAGACCCGCUGAACUUAAGCAUAUCAAUAAGCGGAGGAAAAGAAACCAACAGGGAUUGCCCUAGUAACGGCGAGUGAAGCGGCAACAGCUCAAAUUUGAAAUCUGGCUUCGGCCCGAGUUGUAAUUUGCAGAGGAAGCUUUAGGCGCGGCACCUUCUGAGUCCCCUGGAACGGGGCGCCAUAGAGGGUGAGAGCCCCGUAUAGUUGGAUGCCUAGCCUGUGUAAAGCUCCUUCGACGAGUCGAGUAGUUUGGGAAUGCUGCUCAAAAUGGGAGGUAAAUUUCUUCUAAAGCUAAAUACCGGCCAGAGACCGAUAGCGCACAAGUAGAGUGAUCGAAAGAUGAAAAGCACUUUGAAAAGAGGGUUAAAUAGCACGUGAAAUUGUUGAAAGGGAAGCGCUUGUGACCAGACUUGCGCCGGGCAGAUCAUCCGGUGUUCUCACCGGUGCACUCUGCCCGGCUCAGGCCAGCAUCGGUUCUCGCGGGGGGAUAAAGGCCCUGGGAACGUAGCUCCUCCGGGAGUGUUAUAGCCCGGGGCGUAAUGCCCUCGCGGGGACCGAGGUUCGCGCAUCUGCAAGGAUGCUGGCGUAAUGGUCAUCAGCGACCCGUCUUGAAACACGGACCAAGGAGUCAAGGUUUUGCGCGAGUGUUUGGGUGUAAAACCCGCACGCGUAAUGAAAGUGAACGUAGGUGAGAGCUUCGGCGCAUCAUCGACCGAUCCUGAUGUUUUCGGAUGGAUUUGAGUAGGAGCGUUAAGCCUUGGACCCGAAAGAUGGUGAACUAUGCUUGGAUAGGGUGAAGCCAGAGGAAACUCUGGUGGAGGCUCGCAGCGGUUCUGACGUGCAAAUCGAUCGUCAAAUCUGAGCAUGGGGGCGAAAGACUAAUCGAACCAUCUAGUAGCUGGUUACCGCCGAAGUUUCCCUCAGGAUAGCAGUGUUGUCUUCAGUUUUAUGAGGUAAAGCGAAUGAUUAGGGACUCGGGGGCGCUUUUUAGCCUUCAUCCAUUCUCAAACUUUAAAUAUGUAAGAAGCCCUUGUUACUUAAUUGAACGUGGGCAUUCGAAUGUACCAACACUAGUGGGCCAUUUUUGGUAAGCAGAACUGGCGAUGCGGGAUGAACCGAACGCGGGGUUAAGGUGCCGGAGUGGACGCUCAUCAGACACCACAAAAGGCGUUAGUACAUCUUGACAGCAGGACGGUGGCCAUGGAAGUCGGAAUCCGCUAAGGACUGUGUAACAACUCACCUGCCGAAUGUACUAGCCCUGAAAAUGGAUGGCGCUCAAGCGUCCCACCCAUACCCCGCCCUCAGGGUAGAAACGAUGCCCUGAGGAGUAGGCGGCCGUGGAGGUCAGUGACGAAGCCUAGGG